AACCCAUGGUGAGGGCACCUUCUCAAUAGAGCCUUGUAUCUCUCUCAUGCAUCAUAAAGUGUUUCUAAAUCCAUCUACACAAAAGAAGAAAUAUCAUUCCUUAAUUU
rfam:Gossypium arboreum cultivar AKA8401 contig_21941_7, whole genome shotgun sequence.